rnacentral:rRNA from 1 species
AUUGAACGCUGGCGGCAUGCCUUACACAUGCAAGUCGAACGGUAACAGGUUAAGCUGACGAGUGGCGAACGGGUGAGUAAUGUAUCGGAACGUGCCCAGUCGUGGGGGAUAACUACUCGAAAGAGUGGCUAAUACCGCAUACGACCUGAGGGUGAAAGCGGGGGACCGUAAGGCCUCGCGCGAUUGGAGCGGCCGAGAUCGGAGUUGCUAGUUGGUGGGGUAAAAGCCCACCAAGGCGACGAUCUGUAGCUGGUCUGAGAGGACGACCAGCCACACUGGAACUGAGACACGGCCCAGACUCCUACGGGAGGCAGCAGUGGGGAAUUUUGGACAAUGGACGCAAGUCUGAUCCAGCCAUGCCGCGUGCGGGAAGAAGGCCUUCGGGUUGUAAACCGCUUUUGUCAGGGAAGAAACGAGUUUCUCUAAUACAGAGACUUAAUGACGGUACCUGAAGAAUAAGCACCGGCUAACUACGUGCCAGCAGCCGCCGUAAGAC